GUAGGUGGCAAGCGUUGUCCGGAAUUAUUGGGCGUAAAGCGCGCGCAGGCGGUCCUUUAAGUCUGAUGUGAAAGCCCACGGCUCAACCGUGGAGGGUCAUUGGAAACUGGGGGACUUGAGUACAGAAGAGGAAAGCGGAAUUCCGAGUGUAGCGGUGAAAUGCGUAGAGAUUUGGAGGAACACCAGUGGCGAAGGCGGCUUUCUGGUCUGUAACUGACGCUGAGGCGCGAAAGCGUGGGGAGCAAACAGGGAUUAGAUACCCUGGUAGUCCACGCCGUAAACGAUGAGUGCUAAGUGUUAGGGGGUUUCCCGCCCCUUAGUGCUGCAGCUAACGCAUUAAGCACUCCGCCUGGGGAUACGGCCGCAAGGCUG
rnacentral:rRNA from 1 species